UAAAAAUUUAUUUAUUUUAGGUAGUAACAGAUUUCUUGAAACCUAAAGAAUUUGGCGGUAUUUUAAAUAAUUAGAGGAACCUGUUGAAUAAAUGAUAAUACACAAUAUAUCUUACCUUAAUUAAGUUUGUAUACCGUUGUUUAGAUUAUGUUUAUAAAUUAUGAUCAAAAUUAAUUAAUUUUUAUAAAUCAAAUCAAGGUGCAGCAUAUAAAGGUUUUAAUGGGUUACAAUAUAUUUAUAUAUACGAAUAAAUUAUGAAAAAUAUUUUUAAAGGUGGAUUUAAAAGUAAUUUAAAAUUAAAAUGUUUAAAUGAAUAAAGAUUUAAAAUAUGC
rnacentral:rRNA from 1 species